rnacentral:rRNA from 1 species
AUCUAGCCAUGGGCAGGUUGAAGGUUGGGUAACACUAACUGGAGGACCGAACCGACUAAUGUUGAAAAAUUAGCGGAUGACCUGUGGCUGGGGGUGAAAGGCCAAUCAAACCGGGAGAUAGCUGGUUCUCCCCGAAAGCUAUUUAGGUAGCGCCUCGUGAAUUCAUCUCCGGGGGUAGAGCACUGUUUCGGCUAGGGGGCCAUCCCGGCUUACCAACCCGAUGCAAACUGCGAAUACCGGAGAAUGUUAUCACGGGAGACACACGGCGGGUGCUAACGUCCGUCGUGAAGAGGGAAACAACCCAGACCGCCAGCUAAGGUCCCAAAGUCAUGGUUAAGUGGGAAACGAUGUGGGAAGGCCCAGACAGCCAGGAUGUUGGCUUAGAAGCAGCCAUCAUUUAAAGAAAGCGUAAUAGCUCACUGGUCGAGUCGGCCUGCGCGGAAGAUGUAACGGGGCUAAACCAUGCACCGAAGCUGCGGCAGCGACACUGUGUGUUGUUGGGUAGGGGAGCGUUCUGUAAGCCUGUGAAGGUGUGUCGUGAGGCAUGCUGGAGGUAUCAGAAGUGCGAAUGCUGACAUAAGUAACGAUAAAGCGGGUGAAAAGCCCGCUCGCCGGAAGACCAAGGGUUCCUGUCCAACGUUAAUCGGGGCAGGGUGAGUCGACCCCUAAGGCGAGGCCGAAAGGCGUAGUCGAUGGGAAACGGGUUAAUAUUCCCGUACUUGGUGUUACUGCGAAGGGGGGACGGAGAAGGCUAUGUUGGCCGGGCGACGGUUGUCCCGGUUUAAGUGUGUAGGUGUGUGUUCCAGGUAAAUCCGGUUCACUUUAACACUGAGGCGUGACGACGAGGCACUACGGUGCUGAAGCAACAAAUGCCCUGCUUCCAGGAAAAGCCUCUAAGCAUCAGGUAACAUCAAAUCGUACCCCAAACCGACACAGGUGGUCAGGUAGAGAAUACCAAGGCGCUUGAGAGAACUCGGGUGAAGGAACUAGGCAAAAUGGUGCCGUAACUUCGGGAGAAGGCACGCUGACACGUAGGUGAAGUGAUUUACUCAUGGAGCUGAAGUCAGUCGAAGAUACCAGCUGGCUGCAACUGUUUAUUAAAAACACAGCACUGUGCAAACACGAAAGUGGACGUAUACGGUGUGACGCCUGCCCGGUGCCGGAAGGUUAAUUGAUGGGGUCAGCGCAAGCGAAGCUCCUGAUCGAAGCCCCGGUAAACGGCGGCCGUAACUAUAACGGUCCUAAGGUAGCGAAAUUCCUUGUCGGGUAAGUUCCGACCUGCACGAAUGGCGUAAUGAUGGCCAGGCUGUCUCCACCCGAGACUCAGUGAAAUUGAACUCGCUGUGAAGAUGCAGUGUACCCGCGGCAAGACGGAAAGACCCCGUGAACCUUUACUAUAGCUUGACACUGAACAUUGAGCCUUGAUGUGUAGGAUAGGUGGGAGGCUUUGAAGUGUGGACGCCAGUCUGCAUGGAGCCGACCUUGAAAUACCACCCUUUAAUGUUUGAUGUUCUAACGUGGACCCGUUACCCGGGUUGCGGACAGUGUCUGGUGGGUAGUUUGACUGGGGCGGUCUCCUCCUAAAGAGUAACGGAGGAGCACGAAGGUUGGCUAAUCCUGGUCGGACAUCAGGAGGUUAGUGCAAUGGCAUAAGCCAGCUUGACUGCGAGCGUGACGGCGCGAGCAGGUGCGAAAGCAGGUCAUAGUGAUCCGGUGGUUCUGAAUGGAAGGGCCAUCGCUCAACGGAUAAAAGGUACUCCGGGGAUAACAGGCUGAUACCGCCCAAGAGUUCAUAUCGACGGCGGUGUUUGGCACCUCGAUGUCGGCUCAUCACAUCCUGGGGCUGAAGUAGGUCCCAAGGGUAUGGCUGUUCGCCAUUUAAAGUGGUACGCGAGCUGGGUUUAGAACGUCGUGAGACAGUUCGGUCCCUAUCUGCCGUGGGCGCUGGAGAACUGAGGGGGGCUGCUCCUAGUACGAGAGGACCGGAGUGGACGCAUCACUGGUGUUCGGGUUGUCAUGCCAAUGGCACUGCCCGGUAGCUAAAUGCGGAAGAGAUAAGUGCUGAAAGCAUCUAAGCACGAAACUUGCCCCGAGAUGAGUUCUCCCUGAGACUUAGAGUCUCCUGAAGGAACGUU